rfam:Salmo salar isolate Sally breed double haploid chromosome ssa06, whole genome shotgun sequence.
AUCCCUGUAGCUCAGUUGGUAGAGCAUGGUGUUUGCAACACCAGGGUUGUGGGUUCGAUUCCCACGGGGGGCC